rnacentral:rRNA from 1 species
AGAGUUUGAUCAUGGCUCAGGAUGAACGCUAGCGGCAGGCUUAAUACAUGCAAGUCAAGGGGGUAGCAAUACAACCGGCGCACGGGUGAGUAGCGCGUACACAACAUGCCAUAUACUGGGGUAUAGCUUUGGGAAACUGAAGGUAAUCCCCCAUAACAUUGCGAGAGGGCAUCUGAUUGCAAUUAAAGUUUCGGCGGUAUAUGAUUGGUGUGCGUUUGAUUAGCUAGUUGGUAGGGUAACGGCCUACCAAGGCGACGAUCAAUAGCUGGCGUGAGAGCGCGACCAGCCACACUGGAACUGAGACACGGUCCAGACUCCUACGGGAGGCAGCAGUAGGGAAUAUUGGACAAUGGAGGAAACUCUGAUCCAGCCAUGCCGCGUGAUAGAUGAAGGCCCUCUGGGUUGUAAAUAUCUUUUAUCUGGGAAGAAACUCCUCUAUUCUUAGAGGCCUGACGGUACCAGAGGAAUAAGCACCGGCUAACUCCGUG